GCCAACUGAACAUAUACGAGAUUUUAAUGAGGAUGAAUAAUUAGCCGGCAUGGAGGAAACGGACCUUUAUUUCAUGGAGUGGCGACAAGAAGCCAAGGCGGGUGGCCAGUCUAAGAAGCCUCCAUCAUCAAGCUAGCAGAAAUCCUACCUCUCCUUCUGGCUACAGAGUACUUACCAAGCCCAUGAAAUCGAAUGCAGAUCUUCCUAAUGUGAGAUUUACAUAAAUGUAAGUAAUUUUGUUUGUCAUUGUCA